rnacentral:piRNA from 1 species
AACAUGGCUCGCACCAAGCAGACG